rnacentral:rRNA from 1 species
ACUUAGUGAUCCGGUGGUUCCGCAUGGAAGGGCCAUCGCUCAACGGAUAAAAGCUACCCCGGGGAUAACAGGCUUAUCUCCCCCAAGAGUUCACAUCGACGGGGAGGUUUGGCACCUCGAUGUCGGCCCAUCGCAUCCUGGGGCUGUAGUCGGUCCCAAGGGUUGGGCUGUUCGCCCAUUAAAGCGGUACGCGAGCUGGGUUCAGAACGUCGUGAGAC